rnacentral:rRNA from 1 species
UACGAAGGGGGCUAGCGUUGCUCGGAAUCACUGGGCGUAAAGCGCACGUAGGCGGCUUGUUAAGUCAGGGGUGAAAUCCUGGAGCUCAACUCCAGAACUGCCUUUGAUACUGGCGAGCUUGAGUUCGGGAGAGGUGAGUGGAAUUCCUGGUGUAGCGGUGGAAUGCGCAGAUAUCAGGAGGAACACCGAUAGCGAAGGCAGCUCGCUGGGACGGUACUGACGCUGAGGCGCGAAAGCGUGGGGAGCGAACAGG